GCUGUGCCUCCCCCCAUCCCUCUUUCGUUCUUUUCCUUCCUUCGUUAUUCAGUAUUCACUAAUCAAAGAAAGAAAAAAAGUGAAACCCCUGGCUAGCCUCCACCACCGCCGAACGGAGUGAGCCACUGCCGCCGUCCGUGGUUUUCCGAGGCUUCUCUUUUCGUCCUGUCGGCGUUCUCCAAGUCCAACCCCCUGUUCGCUCUCUUCUUCCUCGCUCGGCGUCCAUCGUCUUCGUCCUGCUCGCCGUCGUCUCGUCGCUCUCAACCGCUCUCCGUUGUCCCGUCGCGCACAACCGCUCUCCAUCGUCCUGCUCUCCGUCGCGCUCAACCCUUCUCGAAGGUGCUUUCGGUUGGAAAAGAACAAGAAAUCUAUUUUGAUGCCCAAAACCAUGGUAAUGACAUGAGUUUAAUUUUGCUUCCUGCUACAGAUGAUUGAUGAUCAAGAUCUGGGUUUCUUUGCCAAUUUCCUUGGCAUCUUCAUCUUUGUACUGGUGAUAGCUUACCAUUUUGUUAUGGCUGAUCCAAAGUAUGAAAGAAACUAGGGUACUAUGUGGUUGUGAUUUUCAUGUUGUAGACUUACUAUUUUUCUAAUGGAAGUUAAGUUGAUAUAGAAAGGAACUUCAUUUUGAGCAUGUGAUGUGAGUUUACUGCUGUAUCUUAUCAAAGACUUCGUUGACACUAGAUGAAUAUUUUGUUCAGAAACCACUUUGAAUGAUUAUUGAUUAGCUCUGCUCAUUGCUGCCGUGCUCGUUCUUCUCUGCUCACUGCUAGUACUCUGAAUGUCACUACAUUUUGUGCUUUUGGUAUUGUUUUUAAUCCAAUGAAGGAAUAGAUGAAUUGAAUUAACUCAAUUAACUAGAUGAGUAGA